AAGGAAGAAGAUAUGACGGUACUUGAGGAAUAAGCCACGGCUAAUUCCGUGCCAGCAGCCGCGGUAAUACGGGAGUGGCAAGCGUUAUCCGGAAUUAUUGGGCGUAAAGCGUCCGCAGGCGGCUUUUCAAGUCUGCUGUUAAAGCGUGGAGCUUAACUCCAUCAUGGCAGUGGAAACUGAAAGGCUUGAGUAUGGUAGGGGCAGAGGGAAUUCCCGGUGUAGCGGUGAAAUGCGUAGAUAUCGGGAAGAACACCAGUGGCGAAGGCGCUCUGCUGGGCCAUUACUGACGCUCAUGGACGAAAGCCAGGGGAGCGAAAGGGAUUAGAUACCCCUGUAGUCCUGGCCGUAAACGAUGAACACUAGGUGUCGGGGGAAUCGACCCCUUCGGUGUCGUAGCUAACGCGUUAAGUGUUCCGCCUGGGGAGUACGCACGCAAGUGUGAAACUCAAAGGAAUUGACGGGGGCCCGCACAAGCGGUGGAGUAUGUGGUUUAAUUCGAUGCAACGCGAAGAACCUUACCAGGGUUUGACAUCCUGCGAACCUCUUAGAAAUUUGAGGGUGCCUUCGGGAAUGCAGUGACAGGUGGUGCAUGGCUGUCGUCAGCUCGUGUCGUGAGAUGUUGGGUUAAGUCCCGCAACGAGCGCAACCCACGUUUUUAGUUGCCAGCAUUUAGUUGGGCACUCUAGAAAGACCGCCGGUGAUAAACCGGAGGAAGGUGUGGAUGACGUCAAGUCAUCAUGCCCCUUACACCCUGGGCUACACACGUACUACAAUGCUACGGACAAAGGGCAGCAAACUCGCGAGAGCUAGCAAAUCCCAUAAACCGUGGCUCAGUCAGAUCGU
rnacentral:rRNA from 1 species